GAAGGAAAAAAAAAAGAUUAUGCAAGAAAAUAUAAACUAUUUUGAAAUGCAAGAAAAAAAUUGAUUAUGCAAGAACAUAUAGACAAAUUGGAAAUGCAAAAAAAAAAAAUUAUGCAAGAAAAAGAAAUAGAAUAUGCAAUAAAAAAAUAAAGUUACAUUAAAUUGAUUAAAAUGGCAAUUGAAUAAUGUGAGUAGAAAGUAAAAA
rnacentral:lncRNA from 1 species